GUGCGCAAUGAAAGGAAUUAAGUGAUCUAUAGAUAAAAAUUGUAUGAAAAUUAUGCUUACACGCUGUUUUGCUUAUACACUUUGUAUUUGAAACUUUGCUGGAAGUAUUGCAUAUUUAACGCUAUAAUUUUUAUGUCAAUAUUGGGUUUUGUACAUUUAAAAUAUUAAUUUGGAUGUAGUUAUCUGCGUACGUAAGGCAGAAAUAAGAUAAUAACCGAGGAGAAAAUGAUUGAUUUUUCAAGGAUGAUUAAGAUGAUAAUAAGUCAGAUCAAUGAACGUGACACGGAACUCUUUUUAGUGGGAUUGUAUAUUUGAAGGUCCCAUUAUUCGAGUCCUGUGAUAUGUUGUUGAUGAUCAGCUGGUGUCUAAUGGUGAUUUACAAGAAAAAGCCGUUUUGCACUUUGAUCUGUAUUAAUAGCCAUUACACGUCUUGUAUUACAUAUGUGCACGCAUUAGAACCAUAGUAGUCUUUACCAGUGCGACAUGACAAUGAACUUUAAUACUGCUAUUUUUUUAGGACCAUAUAGGAUCCUUCAACAAAAGAAUUAUUGAAGCAUAAGAUGAUGUGAUGUGAUGUACGUUAGUGUAGACUAUUCCAAUUACGCAGUUGAAAUACUACGAUCUGCCAGAGAGUACAACGGAAGGAUCUAUUAUUGAAGAAUAAGAUGAUGCGGUGUGAUCUACGUAGUAUGACUAGAAAUAAAUUUUCACAUAUUUAUAUUAAUCAUUAAUGCAUGCAUG